AUGUCCGAAGCAGUUUCACUUGUAUGGACCAGCUUUGCACAACAUGUUUCAUUCAUCUGUCUAUCAUCAAAACUUCUCAUGCCCUAACAUAAUGCUACUAUUAUUUAAAGUUAUGUCCAAUGGGCAAAAGAGAUUGUUGAUAAGUUGGCUGCCUUACAGCACCCAGUUACAGAUGAUGACUUGGUGGAGUUUGGUUUUGCUGGAGGCCCUGCCCAUCGCCCCUUCACAAGGUCCCUUGAAUCACGUCUUGAGGACGUCACCUUUGAUGCACUUUAUGGUAUGUUGUUGAAUGAAGAAAUACAAUUAAAACGUGAGGACGCUAGUACUAUUAUUGCCCCAACAGCACAAUAAACACAAUCUUCAAUCUCUACACCUUGUGGGCGCGAUAAGGGAUGUCUAAUUAAGGUCGCAGACGCUCUGCUGGCCAGGGAAAUUUUCAAAAAUCUCAGAGUCGUAAUUAUGUCACCACAAAUCAUUCUGGGACUCCACUACCUUCCACUGAUUUCUCCGUAAUUAUCUCUCAUAAUUGUGAAGUGAAGGAUCAAAUUGCACGUGUUUGUCUGUCACCUAGGACUGAUGGGUACCUGGAAACCCUCUUCAAAUCUAGCAUGUACGUAUUCCCAAUCAGCACCAAAUUGGUUGAUGGAUAGUGGCAUCCAACAUCAUCUAAGAUCUGAUCUUGACAAUCUUGCAAUUCAAUUGGAAUAUCAUGGUCUUGAAGAAGUUACCCUAGUUUUCCCUUUUGCUGCUCAAGAUGAUGCUAUGGUGCCUGCUACAUCCAUCAAUGUUGCCCAGCUUACUGUCCAGACACCUUCGUCACUUUCACAGCCAAUUGUGCCUAUUUCUUUCUUAUUGAACUCAUCUAGUCCAUCUCCUGCAACAGCCAGUACUGCCCUACGGGAUAAUUCAUCCUCCACUCUGCAAUGCAUGCUCUAAACAGUGGCUAGCAGCAACAUCUGAUCAGUCUCCUGUACACAUGUAUGCUAUGCCUACGAAUACAUCUUGUCUAUCUUUGGAGAUCCCCUCAAAUACAUUGCCUACGGAAGGUGAAAACCAAGUGGCUGAUUUUGAACAAUCUGUUCCUUCAAGAGAUGUGCGCCAUCCUAAUGAAUUGUCAUGCUCUUCAUCUAAGUCUCAUCCAGUGACUACUAGAUCACAAACAGGUUCAUUAAAACCAAAGUUUCCCACGUCUUACUUAGCUAUUUCCUCUAAUGUUGUUGAGCCUUCUUGUUACUCUUAAGCUGCAAAGUAUGCACAUUGGCAUAGGGCGAUGCAAGAGGAGUACAAGGCUCUCCUUCAAAAUGGAACUUAGCAGUUAGUUCCACCUUCUCCGUUUUAAAAUGGUAUUAGGAGCAAAUGGUUUUUUAAAACAAUGGUUAAGCCUGAUGGGUCUAUUACAAGGCUCGGCUCGUUGCUAAAGGGUAUCAUCAAAGACCGAGUAUGGACUAUGUUGAUACUUUUAGUCCUGUAGUGAAACCUGUCACCAUUCGUCUUCUUCUUUCCUUGGAUGUCUCAAACAACUGGUAUAUUACUCAAUUGUAUAUCUCCAAUGCUUUUCUUUACGUUACUCUUGAUGAAGUAGUGUGCAUGUCUCAACCUCCUGGGUUUGUUGACCCCGAUCGUCCUAAGUAUGUUUGCUUGCUCAAGCAUUGUCUUUAUGGGCUUAAACAAGCUCUGCGUAUGUGGAAUAAAUGCCUAACUAUCGCCUUGAUUUCUUACGGCUUUACCGGCUCAAAAACUAAUUGUUCGUUAUUUUAUUUGUCCUCCAAUAGUGAUAAAUUAUUUUGCCUGGUCUAUGUAGAUGAACUUCUUAUUUUGGGAUCUAGUUCGUCUCUUGUUGAUUCUCUUAUUACUUGCUUAAAGUCACAAUUCUCAGUGAGAGACCUUGGUCGCCUUUCUUAUUUUUGGGGAUUGAAGCAUCAUGGACCCCCUACUGGUUUGCACCUGUCGCAACAUCAAUAUGCUACUAAUUUGUUGUGGAAAGCACAGAUGGUCUGGCUGCAAUCAUAUUUCUACACCUACAGCAUUUUCCUGUAAACUUUUCAAGUUUGAAGGAUCUCCAUUCCUGAUGAAACUUUGCAGCGCAGCACACUCUUUCACACAACACACACACCUGUUUUCCCCUAGCUUUAACAGUUACUCCCUAUUUAUGAAGAUGGAACUCAUAAAUUAAAAGGUCAAUACGUUUUCUUCAAAUUGUGUUUAACUCUUUUCAUUGCUAAUCCAAUAUAAAUAGGUUUGCUGUCAGCAACAGAAAUUUAAGAGUAAGCAGAAUUUUAC